CAGUAGGGAGAGCGCAUAAGUUUUGAGCUGCAUUGGGCAGCUUCCUUCAAUUAGAAACAUGAGUAGAGAAAAUACUCCGUUUUUCAGACUUGUGCUACAUGGGUUCAUCAGGAGGUUGUGGUGUGCAAUAAGAAGUAGGGCACCCAUGCAGGAAAACUGUGACUUGCCACCAUCCUGUAUUUGAGAGGAUCAUCAGAAAAGAUGAUGAAGCAGAACCAAGGAGGGGACCUGGACUCCAAACGGCAUUUCCCAUGUGCCUGAGCCUAGUGCAAGACACAUCGUGUGAAAGAGGAGCUCCCAACAGCGCUGGCGAGGAGCUCGUAACCCAGAACAAUAAAGCGCUUCCCCUCCCAGCCUCCUGGCGGUGACCUCCGCUGAAAGUUGAAGGUUCAACUAGCUACACGUGUCAGGGUUGUGACCUUUCACCCCCUCAGCGUCUCGCUCUCCUGCUCU